UACGUAGGGGGCUAGCGUUGUCCGGAUUUAUUGGGCGUAAAGAGCGUGUAGGCGGCCAGAUAGGUCUGCUGUGAAAGCUCGGGGCUCAACCCCGAGUCGGCCGUGCGAACUGGGCUCACUGGAGCAUAGUAGAGGCAGGUGGAAUUCCGAGUGUAGCGGUGGAAUGCGUAGAGAUCCGGAAGAACACCGGUGGCGAAGGCGGCCUGCUGGGCUAUGGCUGACACUGAGGCGCGACAGCGUGGGGAGCAAACAGG
rnacentral:rRNA from 1 species